rnacentral:misc_RNA from 1 species
GAAUUGGCAAAAUAUGUAAAUUGCUUGCAGUUAUAAGAUAUGUUUACAAGCUACAUAUCAUAUGAUACACUUCAAGUUGCAGGAGUAAUACACGUCAUGCAACACCAAAUUUGGGUCAUCUGAAUGCUCUGUUAAUAUCCAAUUGUUGCUUUGAUUGCAUCGAGUACCUUAUUCUUUGUAGGCAUAUAGAAGGGCUCAUAAACAAGAGGGAAGGGGGUAUCGAGUCCGCAUAUUCUGGCCACUGGUGCUUCCAACCUCAGGAAGCAAGAUUCUGCAAUGGACGCGGAUAUCUCGGCACCAAAUCCACCCGUAACUGGAGCCUCAUGACUAACAAGAAGCCUUCCAGUCUUUUUAACAGAGGCUUCUACUGUCUCCUUAUCCCAGGGUAUCAGUGUUCUUAGAUCUA